rnacentral:sRNA from 1 species
GCUGGGCAUGGUGGCGGGUGCCUGUAAUCCCAGUUACUAGGGAGGCUGAGGUAGGAGAAUUGCUUGAACCCAGGAGGCAGGGGUUGCAGUGAGCUGAGAUCGCACCACUGCACUUCAGCCUGGGUGACAGAGUGAGACUCUGUCUCUC